rnacentral:rRNA from 1 species
AGGACGAACGCUGGCGGCGUGCUUAACACAUGCAAGUCACGGGGGCCCGCAAGGGUAACCGGCGAACGGGUGCGUAACACGUGAGCAACCUGCCUAGAUGUGGGGGAUAGCCGGCCCAACGGCCGGGUAAUACCGCAUACGGUCACGAGGAGGAGUCUCCUUGUGAAGAAACCUCCGGGGCAUUUAGAGGGGCUCGCGGCCUAUCAGCUAGUUGGCGGGGUAAUGGCCCACCAAGGCUUCGACGGGUAGCUGGUCUGAGAGGAUGGCCAGCCACAUUGGGACUGAGAGACGGCCCAGACUCCUACGGGAGGCAGCAGUGGGGAAUCUUGCGCAAUGGCCGAAAGGCUGACGCAGCGACGCCGCGUGUGGGAGGACGCCCUUCGGGGUGUAAACCACUGUUGCCCGGGACGAAUGUGCACUUUAGAGUGCAUUGACGGUACCGGGUGAGGAAGCACCGGCUAACUCCGUGCCAGCAGCCGCGGUAA